GAUGAACGCUGGCGGCGUGCCUAAUACAUGCAAGUCGAGCGAACAGACGAGGAUCUUGCUCCUCUGACGUUAGCGGCGGACGGGUGAGUAACACGUGGAUAACCUACCUAUAAGACUGGGAUAACUUCGGGAAUCCGGAGCUAAUACCGGAUAAUAUCUUGAACCGCAUGGUUCAAUAGUGAAAUACGGCUUUGCUGUCACUUCUAGAUGGAUCCGCGCCGCAUGAGCUAGUUGGUAAGGUAACGGCUUACCAAGGCAACGAUGCGUAGCCGAACUGAGAGGGUGAUCGGCCACACUGGAACGGAGACACGGUCCAGACUCCUACGGGAGGCAGCAGUAGGGAAUCGGCCGCAAUGGGCGAAAGCCUGACGGAGCAGGGCCGCGUGAGUUAUGAAGGUCUUCGGAUCGUAAAACUCUGUUAUUAGGGAAGAACAAAUGUGUAAGGAACUAUGCCCGUCUUGACGGUACCUAAUCAGAAAGCCACGGCUAACUACGUG
rnacentral:rRNA from 1 species